rnacentral:rRNA from 1 species
CGGUGGAGCAUGUGGUUUAAUUCGAAGCAACGCGAAGAACCUUACCAAAUCUUGACAUCCUCUGACCCCUCUAGAGAUAGAGUUUUCCCCUUCGGGGGACAGAGUGACAGGUGGUGCAUGGUUGUCGUCAGCUCGUGUCGUGAGAUGUUGGGUUAAGUCCCGCAACGAGCGCAACCCUUAAGCUUAGUUGCCAUCAUUAAGUUGGGCACUCUAAACAGACUGCCGGUGACAAACCGGAGGAAGGUGGGGAUGACGUCAAGUCAGCAUGCCCCUUAGUCCUGGGCUACACACGUACUACAAUGGUAGGGACAGAGGGCAGCCAACCCGCGAGGGCGAGCUAAUCCCGUAAACCCUGCCUCAGUUCAGAUUG